ensembl:lncRNA novel transcript
CUUCAGGCCUGAAGAUAUCUCUCUAUAUACUGCACUGCAUGGGCUUGUGAGAGGAGUGCUGUGGCCACCUGGAUUGGGUGUCCCAUCAUAGUACCCCUGCAGGACUCUGUUCCCUCCAUCUCAAAACCUGUUACACUGCAAUGAAAUGGACUGCUGACUUGUCUCUUUUUCUACAUGUCCCCUCUGAGGCUCCUAGCAAUGGAUGCCGGGAAGGUGACUGAAGCUCUGAGAGCCAACUCUUCGUGAAGCACUUCAGGCUUUUUUCAUCUGCAGGCUCAGCUAACCCUCUCAACGGCUCUUUGAGAAAGGCCAGGUUAUGUCACAGACAGAUCAGGGCUCUUAGGGUCCAAGAGAACAGGCAAUUGGGAAGAAAGAUGGACAUGGAGUCAGGGAUACCAAUGAUGUUCGUGACCAGCAGGAGAAGCUGACACCUUUUGCCAUGAAGUUGCACACACUGGCCCCAAAUCUGAAGUAACUAAAGAAGAAGAUCCAAUAGGAGUGAGAGUUGCUGCUGCGAUGUCAUCAGAGCGAGCUAGCAGGACAGUGGCA